CAGAUAUCUCAGUGAUAAGGGUUUAGCUGUUAUGUGGCCAAUGGUGUGGUACCUCAUUUUCAACAUCAUCCAUAUAGAGAAGACUCUGCAUACCUGCACAUUGACAACUGUGUUGGGUGGAAUAAAACCAAUGCAGUCAUUGGGGUCUGAUGUAUUCUGAAGGGAGGGAAACAGCAUUUACUUAAAUGGAAGCAGGUGGCAUAAAGUUCAGUCCUGUGUGAGAUUUGGUCUGUGGAAGACCAAAUGGAGGCAGCACACAUCCUUUGUGGAUUGAUGACCUAGGCAAACUGGUUAUAUUCUUUGACUGGUUGGAGUACACCAAGUGACCCCUGAAGUCCAUUCCAAACUUGAGGAAAUAUCAUCACUUCAGAACUUCAGCUGACAACCAAGUGAGUGAAUUCAUGAGAGAGCAUGCCAAGGACAGUGAGAUUGAAGUUAAAAUUGACAAGCCCACAACAAUGGAUUUUCCAUGGAGAGUACCCUGAACGCAUCCAACUAAAAGGACUUAAUGCAAAAAGGCUCUGAGCCCUUAAAUAAGUGAAAAACUAAUAUACUGAUAUGUGAUCUUUAUAAACUAAAUAUAAGAUUUGAGAAUGAGCCCGUUACUGAGCUGAUGAAAACGUGUAUCAAUUUUCUAUUGACAAUUAUUUAUUCAAUAGAAACAUGUUCAUGUGAAAUGAAGCUACCAGUGAUUUUGAGUGAAAAACUGUGGUUUUAGCAAAUGAGUGAUAGAAGGAUGCUACACCCUGUCUUUUGUUGGUAGAGCCCCUCUGCCAUAAUGGAGACCACUAUAUGAUUAUUAUUAAUACAAACUUAAAAUAAUCUGGCAGUUGAAGCCUAUAAAUGCUUGAAUUGAAGACAUUUAUAAUAUUGUUUGUCAAUAUUAGUUACUUCACAGCCUGAUAAAAUGUACCUUAGCAAGUUUUCUGUUUUUCUUCAAUGUCUUUAUUA